CAGAUAAAGGAUGAAUUUGUGUCUGCAGAUGGCACGCUUGCUUUCUGCUGCUGUCCAGUUUUGUUAUUUCAGUCACUGGAAAAGUUGAAUGUAUGCAGUAGAAGAGAUGUGGCGUUCUUUAAAGUCUCACUUUAAGCAAGCGUGAUGGUUUGGGUAAUUUUGGUUUUGUUUUUUGUUUUUGUUUUUGUGGGGGGGGGGGGUUCAGCUAAUCACACAAUACUACUGUCACUGAAGUAUCUUAAUGUCACUGACACGUUCCCACAUGUGGUCAUUUCAGUUCCUUUCCAUUCCAACUUUUACUGUUGAUGCCCUCUAGUGGUGAAACAGACAAAUUGCCAGCUUGCAGUACUGUGUUGAAGGCUAUCAGAGAGGCAUUUAUUUUUGAUUUUGUUUAAAAGUACCGUUUCCCCCCCAAUUUCAGGCAGUUCUUUGUUUGUUUGAAAGACUUCAUGCUCCUCUGUUUACACUCCUCAAAUGUGAAAGUGUCACUGUACUGUAAACUGUUUUCACACUUCAACCCUGAACUUUUUCUAGUCUACACUAGAGUGUCUGCUGCAGUUGGAUUGGAUAUUAAGCGUGUAUUUAACUUGCCGGCAUGAUGUCAGAUUGCAUCAAUGUGUGACUGGGGGCAGGGUGGAGGAGUUAGAGCCGGUGAUCUUCCUGCCUCCUGCAUACUCCACCCCAGGCAGCUGGCUGGCCUUAAUCACAUCACACAGAGCAGUUCCAGUAGUGAGGACACAACCGAACCUGAUUGUGCUGAUAUUUUCUGGCAUUCCUGUGUAGAAACAACUUAAUGAGGCGUCAGCAGCUGGAGCCUGCAAAAAGAGUCUUUUUAUAUGAUGAUGAGGCUGAUGGAUACGUUUCAUGUCAGGAUGAAGUAUGACGCUCAUGACUAAACACCAACAUGUUACCAUUUCUCUCAGAAAGUACUAUAAGCUCAAGGUUUUCCUUUUUUGUUUUUUUUUUUAACUGCAAUGACUACGUGUUUUUCUGUUAACGGGUCUUUAUUUAUAACCUUUAAAUUCCCUAUAGAUCAUGGGGAGGGACCACACAUGAAUGUAGCUGUAUGCUUUUAUUCACCUCUGGUCAUGUCAGGUGAAACGCAGCAGGGCUGAUGGUCUUUGAAAUCGAAUGCUUUUAAUGAGACAGUUGGAGUGAAAGCACCGGGACGGUGAUUCUGACCAUUAUGGAGUUCACCUCAAUCAGGAGAGAUGGUUCAUGUCUCCUGACCUCUGUUAGUGAUGGUUGUACAGAUGUGCUGCUGACCAGCUAACAUGUGGAACAGAGAAACUCCUUCA
ensembl:lncRNA